rnacentral:rRNA from 1 species
UUCCUAGCCCCCAAUGGUGGAUAUCUUGGCUCCUGUAUCGAUGACGAACGCAGCAGCGCGCGAUAGGUGUUGUGAUCCGCAAAACUAUAUUUGAUCAUCGAGUCUUCGAACGCAAACGGCACGCUCCUCACCAUCCGGUGGAGUAGCGUGCGCCCGUCUGAGCAUCGUUUA